rnacentral:rRNA from 1 species
UACGGAGGGGGCUAGCGUUGUUCGGAAUUACUGGGCGUAAAGCGCACGUAGGCGGACUGUUAAGUCGGGGGUGAAAUCCUGGGGCUCAACCUCAGAAUUGCCUCCGAUACUGGCAGUCUCGAGUGCGGGAGAGGUGAGUGGAAUUCCCAGUGUAGAGGUGAAAUUCGUAGAUAUUGGGAAGAACACCAGUGGCGAAGGCGGCUCACUGGCCCGUAACUGACGCUGAGGUGCGAAAGCGUGGGAGCAACAGG